AUGUGAUCGUCUCUCGCAUAUCAAUAAGCGGAGGAAAAGAAACUAACAAGGAUUCCCCUAGUAACGGCGAGUGAAGCGGGAAGAGCUCAAAUUUGAAAUCUUAAAGGGUUUCCCUUUACGAAUUGUAGGUUUAAAGAAGUGUUUUCUGUUGAGGUUUUGGUAAAAGUUCUUUGGAAUAGGACAUCAUAGAGGGUGAGAAUCCCGUAUUUGACCUUUACUUUCAACUUUGUGAUACACUUUCAAAGAGUCGGAUUGUUUGGGAAUGCAGUCCAAAAUGGGUGGUAAAUUUCAUCUAAAGCUAAAUAUUGGCGAGAGACCGAUAGCGAACAAGUACCGUGAGGGAAAGAUGAAAAGAACUUUGAAAAGAGAGUUAAACAGUACGUGAAAUUGUCAAAAGGGAAGCGUUUGACACCAGUGUUGUUUUUCUGAAAAUCAAUUAAAGAACUGUUUAUGCUAAGUUGUUUAGACUUUAUCAGCUAACUGUUUAGUUUUGAGCUUUUCUUUAAUGCACUUUUCAGUUAACAAGUCAACAUCAAUUUCUUUUGCUGUAAAAAAGCUUGAGGAAGGUGGCUUGAGAUUCGUCUUAAGUGUUUAUAGCCUCUUGCCUAUGCAGUCGGAGAGAUUGAGGUCUGCAGCGUAGAUCCUUCGGGGCUAAAUGCAUUUGUGCUAAGUUAUAGCAUUUUAUAGACAACUUGUUGACUAUGAUUUGUCUUGUAGCUUACUCGCUUAUGUUAUUUUACCUACGCUUAGGAUGUGAUCUGUAGUGCGUGCGC
rnacentral:rRNA from 1 species